rnacentral:tRNA from 1 species
UGGCGCAUAGCUCAAUGGACAGAGCACGGGGCUACGAACCCCGAUGUUGGGGGUUCGAAUCCCUCUGUGCCAG